GAUGAACGCUAGCUACAGGCUUAACACAUGCAAGUCGAGGGACGGGCGCACGGGUGAGUAACACGUAUCCAACCUGCCCUUUACUCGAGGAUAGCCUUUCGAAAGAAAGAUUAAUACCCGAUAUAAAGGAUGGGGAUGCGUUCCAUUAGGUUGUUGGUGAGGUAACGGCUAACGAAGACUUCGAUGGAUAGGUGUGCGGAGAGGAAGGUCCCCUGCAUCGGAACUGAGACACGGACUAAACCCGGACGGUGGGGAGGAGUGAGGAAUAUUGUUCAAUGGGUGCGAGCCUGAACCAGCCAAGUAGCGUGAGGGAUGAAGCCGUAUGGGUCGUAAACUUCUGUUAUAGAAGAAGAUGUAUUAUAUGAAUAAGGAUCGGCUAACUCCGUGCCAGCAGCCGCGGUAAUAC
rnacentral:rRNA from 1 species